rnacentral:rRNA from 1 species
CCUACGGGUGGCAGCAGUGGGGAAUAUUGCACAAUGGGCGCAAGCCUGAUGCAGCCAUGCCGCGUGUGUGAAGAAGGCCUUCGGGUUGUAAAGCACUUUCAGCGGGGAGGAAGGCGGUGAGGUUAAUAACCUCAUCGAUUGACGUUACCCGCAGAAGAAGCACCGGCUAACUCCGUGCCAGCAGCCGCGGUAAUACGGAGGGUGCAAGCGUUAAUCGGAAUUACUGGGCGUAAAGCGCACGCAGACGGUCUGUCAAGUCGGAUGUGAAAUCCCCGGGCUCAACCUGGGAACUGCAUUCGAAACUGGGAGGCUAGAGUCUUGUAGAGGGGGGUAGAAUUCCAGGUGUAGCGGUGAAAUGCGUAGAGAUCUGGAGGAAUACCGGUGGCGAAGGCGGCCCCCUGGACAAAGACUGACGCUCAGGUGCGAAAGCGUGGGGAGCAAACAGGAUUAGAUACCCGAGUAGUC